UUGAGGUCCUUGGACAGCAGGAAGUGUUUGGGCCUGAGAUGUUUGAUGCUGUUCCUGGACAGAUCCAUCUUCACGAUGUCAGACGGCAGGUCAGUUGGGAUGUAAUUCAAAUCUGCAAAGAAGGACGGGACGAACAAACAGGUGCACUGGGUGGAGGGUGGGCAGAGUUUUUUUUCCCCUCACUGGAGUUGCCGAUGCACCUGCCGCAGAUUGGCAAUCAGGGCCUGCUGACCAGCCCUGCUCUCCACGCGACCUGCUGCCAGAUGAUUUUUGCCAGUCAGAUGUGGUUUCCCCCCCCGGUGAUCCCACUCUCCUGCUGUCUCUGUUUCCAGCAACCCAGCAGCUUACUACCUUCACCUGCAAUAACCGUGUUCAGUCCAAUAAAUAACCCUGCUCUCCUGAUCCUGCCUCGUGUCCGUUUAUGGGUCCAACCACCGACCACUGAGUGUAACAGUUUUUUAAUUCUAUUGUUACUCUUUUCAAGGUGACGUUACUUUCUUUCAAGCCAACCUUGUGUCAGCAGAGCUUCUGUGCUUUUAAGCCGUGCUCCUGAUUCAAGGUUUGGGGGCUGCGGGCUCAGGUAAGCUCGGUUCUUUAUAACGGCUCUAGAUUUGAAUCAUUUUCAAAUCUUCAGCCUUGAGCCGGAGAACAGAAAUCUCCUCGUCAGACUUUGCGCAGCUCUCUCCAGAGCCACGAAAAGCUUUGUACAUUGAUAUGUUUUACAUCUGGAAAUCAGGAGCACGCCCUUUAACCUGUAAGCAGACUUUAAAAUGUAUAAUCAGUGUUGUCUACCUUAAGUCGCUGUAUAAGAAGUUUGUUUAAAGUUUUACAAACAAGUAAAAACUCUACAGUCUUAUUUUUUUCCAAUCUUAAUGAACACAUCUGAUCCACACUGUGUCUUGGGACUGAUGUAAUUGUGCUUCUUUUUCCGAUGUCACCAUGACAAUUGCA